ACAGCCCAGUAGAGAUAUUGCAGGUGUGGCUGCUGAGGUACUUUUGCAUCAGUAGGUGGCAGAGAGAAGAGAGGCUAUGUCUCCACUCAAUGUUCUGACUUGUGAGCAUUGGAAUGAUUAGUAUCCUAACAUU